GAUGAACGCUGGCGGCGUGCCUAAUACAUGCAAGUCGAGCGAACAGACGAGGAGCUUGCUCCUUUGACGUUAGCGGCGGACGGGUGAGUAACACGUGGGUAACCUACCUAUAAGACUGGGAUAACUUCGGGAAACCGGAGCUAAUACCGGAUAAUAUUUCGAACCGCAUGGUUCGAUAGUGAAAGAUGGCUUUGCUAUCACUUAUAGAUGGACCUGCGCCGUAUUAGCUAGUUGGUAAGGUAACGGCUUACCAAGGCAACGAGACGUAGCCGACCGGAGAGGGUGAUCGGCCACACUGGAACUGGGACACGGUCCAGACUCCUACGGGAGGCAGCAGUAGGGAAUCUUCCGCAAUGGGCGAAAGCCUGACGGAGCAACGCCGCGUGAGUGAUGAAGGUCUUCGGAUCGUAAAACUCUGUUAUUAGGGAAGAACAAACGUGUAAGUAACUGUGCACGUCUUGACGGUACCUAAUCAGAAAGCCACGGCUAACUACGUG
rnacentral:rRNA from 1 species